GAAAUCAGUUCAGCACUAAGUCACUUUGUCUUUAUGGCAAAUGUGAGAUGCAGUGUAUGGAAUGUCAAAUUUCUAGUAUGAUAAAUUAACGAUUUAAGUCCUUCUUAAAUGAGGCCAUUUACCCAUAGAGGGUGCCAGGCCCGUAUAACGUUAAUGAUUACUAGAUGGCAUUUCCAAAGAGUCGUGUUGCUUGAUAGUGCAGCACUAAGUGGGUGGUAAACUCCAUCUAAAACUAAAUAUAACCAUGAGACCGAUAGCAAACAAGUACCGUGAGGGAAAGUUGAAAAGAACUCUGAAUAGAGAGUUAAAUAGUACGUGAAACUGCUUAGAGGUUAAGCCCGAUGAACCUGAAUAUCCAUUAUGGAAAAUUCAUCAUUAUGAUUUUAAUAUUUAUAAUAUUAUAAUAAUAGUGUGCAUUUUUUCUAUAACGGACAUUGUAAUCUAUUAACAUAAAUAUAUUUAUCAUAAGAUCAAUGAUGCGUAAGUUUAUUCAAAUUAUUUUGCUUGCAAUUUAACAUAGAAUAAAUGCUCUUGAUUUGAUAAAGUGUUGAUAGAUUUAUUGUAUAUAGUGCUUAAAUAUUUAUAUUUUAUAAUAGCAUAUUAAUCAUUGAUUUUUAUGUUUAUUAUAUGCACUUAUAUGAUUAACAAUGCGAAAGAUUCAGGAUACCUUCGGGACCCGUCUUGAAACACGGACCAAGGAGUCUAACAUAUUUGCAAGUUAUUGGGUAUCAAAACCUAAUAGCGAAAUUAACAUAACUUUAAUGGGAUUAGUUUUUAGAUUAUUUAUAGUCUAUUAAUUCAAUCCCGGGGCGUUCUAUAUGGUUAUGUAUAAUAAUAUUUAUAUUAUUUAUAUCUCUAACCAGAGCGUACCUUGAGCAUAUAUGCUGUGACCCGAAAGAUGGUGAACUAUACUUGAUCAGGUUGAAGUCAGGGGAAACCCUGAUGGAAGACCGAAACAGUUCUGACGUGCAAA
rnacentral:rRNA from 1 species